GAUGAAGAACGUAGCGAAAUGCGAUAAGUAAUGUGAAUUGCAGAAUUCAGUGAAUCAUCGAAUCUUUGAACGCACAUUGCGCCCGCUAGUAUUCUGGCGGGCAUGCCUGUCCGAGCGUCAUUUCAACCCUCAAGCCCCCGGGCUUUGUGUUGGGGAUCGGCGAGCCUCCGCGCCCGCCGUCCCCUAAAUCUAGUGGCGGUCUCGCUGUAGCUUCCUCUGCGUAGUAGCACACCUCGCACUGGGAAACAGCGCGGCCACGCCGUUAAACCCCCAACUUCUGAACGUUUGACCUCGGAUCAGGUAGGAAUACCCGCUGAACUUAAGCAUAUCAAUAAGCGGAGGA
rnacentral:misc_RNA from 1 species